GACGAACGCUGGCGGCGUGCUUAACACAUGCAAGUCGAACGAAGAGCGAUGGAAGCUUGCUUCUAUCAAUCUUAGUGGCGAACGGGUGAGUAACGCGUAAUCAACCUGCCCUUCAGAGGGGGACAACAGUUGGAAACGACUGCUAAUACCGCAUACGAUCUAAUCUCGGCAUCGAGGAUAGAUGAAAGGUGGCCUCUACAUGUAAGCUAUCACUGAAGGAGGGGAUUGCGUCUGAUUAGCUAGUUGGAGGGGUAACGGCCCACCAAGGCGAUGAUCAGAAGCCGGUCUGAGAGGAUGAACGGCCACAUUGGGACUGAGACACGGCCCAGACUCCUACGGGAGGCAGCAGUGGGGAAUCUUCCGCAAUGGACGAAAGUCUGACGGAGCAACGCCGCGUGAGUGAUGACGGCCUUCGGGUUGUAAAGCUCUGUUAAUCGGGACGAAAGGCCUUCUUGCGAAUAGUGAGAAGGAUUGACGGUACCGGAAGAGAAAGCCACGGCUAACUACGUG
rnacentral:rRNA from 1 species